rnacentral:lncRNA from 1 species
UUUUUUACAGCGCUUGCACGCAUGAGAUGCUUAAAAGAUUCGGAUUGUUCAUUUUAUGUGUGUAGAAAGUCAUAUAAAGCAAUUUUUACUGGUACACGAUGUAGAUGUGUUAAAAUCAUAGAUUAAGUUUGUGAGUGAUUUUGUAUUUCAUUUCAUAAUUGAGAUUUGGCAUAAAUGUUCUGCUAAAAUCUUUCAUAAGUUGUCGUUAUAUAUUUAUUGUUUCAUGGUAAUAAAAUGAAGUGAGAUAGAAAAUAGAAAAUAUAUCGUCGUAUAAAAAAUAAUAAUUUAAUUAAGCAUAAUUUUAUACUCAUGUGAUAAUAUUGGUAGAAUGGUGAUCUUUCUCAUCA